UCUUGCAACGCUUCACGCCUCUCUCCCUCUCCUCCCCGGCUCCCCGUGUCGACUCCUCCAGCCCGCCCUCUCCUCGGCUCCUCCUCCGACCCCCAUCGCGACCCCGAUGGCGCGCCGCCUCAUCGCCGCCCUCCUCGCGGCGUCGCUCCUUCUGCCUCUCGCCCGCCCGGACUCCUCCCCCUCCCUCCCCGCCACCGCCACCGCCACCGCGUACGACGAGCUCCGCCUCCGGGGCUUCCCGCGGGGCCUGCUCCCGGCCAACGUGCGGGGGUACACGCUCGACGCCGGGUCCGGGGAAUUCGCCGUCGACCUCCGCUCCAGCUGCCGCAUCGUGCUGCCCGCGGGGAGCUACCUCGCCGCCUUCAACGACCGCCUCACGGGGCGCCUCGGGGACCGCAGCAUCUCGGGCCUCAGCGGCAACCGCGUCAGGGCCUUCCUCCGCUGGUGGUCCAUCACGGGGAUCCGAGCCGACGGGGACCAGCUCGUCUUCGAGGUCGGCUCCGUCUCCGCCAAGUUCCCCGCGCGGGACUUCAACGCCAGCCUCGAGUGCCCCGCCAAGGCCGACUCCUGAUGCAGCACCUAGGUACCGUCAAAUGAUCAAAGGAUAUCUGCAGUAUUGUUAUGUUAUCAGUUUAGCAGGAUCCAGUUGUUUCAUUUUUUAUUACCUUUUCUUUGAGGGGCUAAUUUUUAGUAAACAUGCUAACGAGAUGAACCCUGUUUGAAGAACACGAUGCUAAGCAGUCUGAGAUACACUUCUGUUUUUUUUUAAUGAUGGCUAUUCGAAUUGUAGUGGCGACUGGUGAGAACUGUUCCAGCGAUUAAUUUUCUGUAAUGUUUAAUAGUACCUGCGGGCUGCGGCAGCGAAUCAUACUUAGAUGAUAAUUUUGGAAAAUCAUUCAUCAUCAGUCCAUGAAUUUUUGGAAGCUGCAAAGCAAUAAAUUACUGCUAACCCAGUAAGAAAUAGAAUAUCUAGCAAAUACAAGUACUACUUAUGUACCUAGUGGCUAGUGCAAGCUCAUGUGUGAACAGUAAAUCUUGCGAUGGUACUAUAGAAGAGCUUGUGCUGCAGUAGCCCAAAAGCACAAAUAUAGGCACCAGUACUUCAUUCCCUGGAAUCAAACAUUAUUCUACACUUGAUUGUCUUAGACAGCAUCAUUUCCUUGACUGACUGUUUCAUGCUACAAUGCUUCACUGGUAUAAGAAGAAAUGGAAAUACACUGAAAUGUAGAUAUAUUGUGAGGUCUGCAGGAAGCUGACUUGCUUUGAAACACUGCCAGUGGCGGUGCUAGAAAGUCUGUGGUGUCAAAUGUAGGGCCAAUCGUGUACAACUACAACAUAUACUUUGCUACAAUUUCAGUAAGAAUCAGCCUGCCUUUUUUUAAAAAAAGGGGAAAAACAUGGAAUCAUCUGACGUUAUAUCUUUUUCAAGGAUUCUGGAUGCCAAGCUUUGUGAUAUUCUUAUGACUGGUCAUUGCUACGAACUCUGAGACAGAGGAACACGUGUGCUGACAUUGCUGCACUUGAGUGUGGAAUGCAACUGCAUAGUAGGUUGAUUAAGGCUGGUUAUGGUGUGGGCUGCUUUGUGGGGAAUGCACUCCUAGCUAUGUACUUCAAAUGUGGGAACAUGGAGGAAGCUCACAAUGCAUUUGAGGAGAUGGAGGAGAGGGAUGUUGUUUCAUGGAAUACUAUGAUUGCAGGCUAUGCACGCCAUGGUUUUGGCAAGGAAGCACUUGAGGUUUUUGAUACAAUGAGGAAGACUUCUACCAAGCCAGAUGAUAUUACUUUGGUUGGAGUACUUGCAGCAUGUAGUCACUCUGGUUUGAUCGAGAAAGGCGUUUCAUACUUCUAUUCAAUGCAUCACGAUUUUGGUGUGACAGCGAAACCUGAACAUUACACCUGUAUGAUAGACCUUCUUGGACGGGCUGGAAGAUUGGAUGAAGCAGUUAGUCUUAUGAAGGACAUGCCUUUUGAGCCUGACUCUACCAUGUGGGGUGCGUUACUUGGUGCUAGUAGGAUCCACCGCAACUCUGAACUAGGCAGAAGUGCUGCUGAGAAAAUAUUUGAGUUGGAACCUGAAAAUGCUGGCAUGUAUGUCUUGCUUUCAAAUAUAUAUGCAUCCUCUGGCAAAUGGCGUGAUGUGGACAAGAUGAGAGCUAUGAUGUAUGAGCGUGGUGUGAAGAAGGUUCCAGGAUUUAGUUGGAUUGAAGUGCAGAACAAAGUCCACACUUUCUCAGUGGGUGAUUGUGUACAUCCUGAGAAAGAAGACAUAUAUGCUUUCUUGGAAGACCUGGACAUGAGGAUGAAAAAGGCAGGCUAUAUAUCUGCUACAGAUAUGGUUUUGCAUGAUGUGGAGGAGGAAGAGAAGGAACACAUGCUCAAGUAUCAUAGUGAGAAGCUUGCUGUUGCUUAUGGUAUUCUUAAAAUUCCUCCUGGGAGGCCCAUCAGGGUGAUAAAAAACCUGAGAGUAUGCGAAGACUGUCAUACUGCUUUCAAGUAUAUAUCUGCUAUUGAGGGCCAGCUGAUCAUAUUGCGGGAUUCUAACCGUUUUCACCAUUUUAGAGAUGGUUCAUGUUCAUGUGGUGAUUACUGGUAAUGAUGAGUAGAUAUACGUGCAAAGAAAUUCUAAAGGAAAUAUAGUGUACUAUGUACUAUGGUCUUGUGGAUGUCGAAAUCAUGAUCAUGCAAUGCAGACUACAGACAAACAUACUGGGCAUCCUGAUGUCUGGAUCUGGCCAUGUUAGCCACUAGGCUUUUUGUUUUAGUUCUGGUCCGAAAAGAUUAUCCUGGUGAUUUGCUAUGUUAAUUAGGGAUUUCAGUUUAUUUGUGAGUACUGAGAUCCGUACCUCCAGAUGGGAAACAUAAAAGGUUUCUACAGAGAGAACAAAUCUACGGAGUGCAUGUUCUGGUCUCACAUGAACUGUACCUGGACAGUUAUGCUAGCAUUUGUCUGUUGGAGAAACCUUGGGAAAAAAAAAGAAGCAUCCCUUGUAAUUUGUCAAUAAGUAGAGGUCAGAGGGAGAACCAUCAGGUUAGGUGUGAAGUACUGAAAAACAACAACCAUCUUGUUAUUAAUUUUCUACAGAUGAAGAAUAAAAAAGAGUUGAAACUACUUGCUUUCCUGUUAUCAGGUGCAUUGGAGUAUUCAAAGGAUGGUGCUAUUUAGUGCAACAUUAUCCAUUGACUUGAAUAUAACUGGUGUCGGCAAACCAAGCCAGAGAAUGCAACUGCAAGAAUAUAUUGUCAUGCCAUUUCUGUCAGAAUAACAUUGAUGUUAAAACGUAAAGGUUCUUCUAUCAGCUCAGGUACGCUUAUCAUGCAUCUGAUCUAGUUGUUACCAGCAAGGAGCAGGCUACUCUGUGGAUUCAUGGAGCUGAAGAUUUUUUGUUCAUUCUACUGGAUGGAUCUUCAGAGCCUGCACAUCUUUCUGUGAUUUUCAGGGAUCUGAGCUCGGCGAGACGGCGAUGGAACCUUCCUUGUCGCUUCUCGCGGCCUCCAUCUCUGCUUGGUCACUCCUGCUCCCUUCUGUCAUCGCCUCAACAGUCCUCCGGUCCCGGAGUCAAUCGCCACCUGACACUCUGACACACGAGCUCCAGUUCCUCCAUCUCUCCGAGGGCAUCGGAUUUCUUGAACGGAGAAUGCAACUUCUGUGGCAAGCCAUCCGUGGCAAGCGAGAGAAGUUUCGUUGAUAUGAAACUCACCUGUCAUAGUUAUCCAAUUCUUAGUCUUGGUAACGUGCCCUGAAACUGUGCACGAGGAUUGACCUAAGUGUCUUCUGUGGCUUCGGAAGAGUAACUAUUCAAAAGAAUAUACUCUCUGGCAGUAAGGAAAAGGAGAGUAAAUCAUCGCUCUGUUCGGCUAGUUUGUCAACUAACCAACCCAGCAGUGUUUUUCUCUCACACUAAAUCAGCACCAACCACUAGGCAACCAGCAGUACUUUUCUCUCAUAAUAAAUCAGCACCAGCCACAGUCGGCCGAACAGAGUGCAUAUCUCUAUAGAGCACACAUUAUUUUUCUACUUCUGAUGCUGGCGGUGGCACUUUCAGGACAAUGGCACACUAAUGCUGAUGAGCUAGAGGCGAGAGUCCUGGGCGGUUGUAAGGUUAUUUGCACUCGUCGUACUCUAAAUCUAUCCUCUAAAAAGAAUAUUUUAUUCUAGUCAUUUAGAUUCUCUUCUCUAUUCCUUUUUCUCAAGUACUUGUCA